AAUAGAUACCCAGGUAGUCCACGCCGUAAACGAUGAGUGCUAAGUGUUAGAGGGUUUCCGCCCUUUAGUGCUGCAGCUAACGCAUUAAGCACUCCGCCUGGGGAGUACGGCCGCAAGGCUGAAAACUCAAAGGAAUUGACGGGGGCCCGCACAAGCGGUGGAGCAUGUGGUUUAAUUCGAAGCAACGCGAAGAACCUUACCAGGUCUUGACAUCCUCUGACAACCCUAGAGAUAGGGCUUUCCCCUUCGGGGGACAGAGUGACAGGUGGUGCAUGGUUGUCGUCAGCUCGUGUCGUGAGAUGUUGGGUUAAGUCCCGCAACGAGCGCAACCCUUGAUCUUAGUUGCCAGCAUUCAGUUGGGCACUCUAAGGUGACUGCCGGUGACAAACCGGAGGAAGGUGGGGAUGACGUCAAAUCAUCAUGCCCCUUAUGACCUGGGCUACACACGUGCUACAAUGGAUGGUACAAAGGGCUGCAAACCUGCGAAGGUAAGCGAAUCCCAUAAAGCCAUUCUCAGUUCGGAUUGCAGG
rnacentral:rRNA from 1 species